rnacentral:lncRNA from 1 species
GUGGUCACUCAGUGGUCACUCAGCGGUCACUCAGUGGUCACUCAGUGGUCACUCAGUGGUCAGUGGUCACUCAGGAGUCACUCAGGGGUCACUCAGGGGUCAGAGCCCGGUGGUCACUCAGGGGUCACUCAGAGCCCUGUGGUCACUCAGUGUCCGGUGGUCACUCAGGGAUCACUCAGGGGUCACUCAGGGAUCACUCAGGGGUCACUCAGCGGUCACUCAGGGGUCAGAGCCCGGUGGUCACUCAGUGUCUGGUGGUCACUCAGGGAUCACUCAGGGGUCACUCAGCGGUCACUCAGCGGUCACUCAGGGGUCAGAGCCCGGUGGUCACUCAGUGUCCGGUGCAGGUGGCCGAAGUCCGGCCGCUCGGCCGCCUCUCGGGCCCAGCAGUUCAACAUCAGCCGGUGCAGGGCGGGGGGGCAGCCGGGGGGGCAGGGCAGGUACUGCUGGGAACUGGGGUUACUGGGAUGGACUGGGA